rnacentral:rRNA from 1 species
UCUGGUACUAUCAGCUUACCCGGUAUUAGCGGGCAAGGUUUGCUCCCAGAUGACAGGGGUUUACGACCCGAAGGCCUUCAUCCCCCACGCGGCGUCGCUCCAUCAGGCUUUCGCCCAUUGUGAAAGAUUCUCG